GACGAACGCUGGCGGCGUGCUUAACACAUGCAAGUCGAGCGGAGCGGCGAACGGGUGAGUAACGCGUGAGUAACUGCCCACCUCUAUGGGAUAACAGUUGGAAAAGGCUGCUAAUACCGGAUAGUGGGGGAUGACUCGCGUCGUAUCAGCUUGUUGGUGGGGUAGUGGACUACCAAGGCGCCGACAGGUAGCCGGACUGAGAGGGCGACCGGCCACAUUGGUCUGAGAUACGGCCCAAACGCCUACUGGAGGCAGCAGUGGGGAAUAUUGCACAAUGGGGGAAACCCUGAUGCAGCAACGCGCGUGCGGGAUGACGGCCUUCGUGUUGUAAACCGCUUUCAGCCAUGACGCGGUAGUGGCAUAAGAAGCACCGGCUAACUACGUGCCAGCAGCCGCGGUAAUUC
rnacentral:rRNA from 1 species